rnacentral:rRNA from 1 species
AUUGAACGCUGGCGGCAGGCCUAACACAUGCAAGUCGAACGAGUGGCGGACGGGUGAGUAAUGUCUGGGAAACUGCCUGAUGGAGGGGGAUAACUACUGGAAACGGUAGCUAAUACCGCAUACCAUCAGAUGUGCCCAGAUGGGAUUAGCUGGUUGGUGGGGUAACGGCUCACCAAGGCGACGAUCCCUAGCUGGUCUGAGAGGGUGACCCGCCACACUGGAACUGAGACACGGUCCAUCGUCCUACGGGAGGCAGCAGUGGGGAAUAUUGCACAAUGGUGGCAAGCCUGAUGCAGCCAUGCCGGGUGUAUGAAGAAGGCCUUCGGGUUGUAAAGUACUUUCAGCGGGGAGGCGUUACCCGCAGAAGAAGCCCCGGCUAACUCCGUGCCAGCAGCCGCGGUAAUUC